AUUGAACGCUGGCGGCAGGCCUAACACAUGCAAGUCGAACGAGUGGCGAACGGGUGAGUAAUGUCUGGGAAACUGCCCGAUGGGGGGGGAUAACUACUGGAAACGGUAGCCAAUUCCGCAUACCCUCCGCUGUGCCCAGAUGGGAUUAGCUAGUUGGGGGGGUAACGGCUAACCAAGGCGACGAUCCCUAGCUGGUCUGAGAGGAUGACCAGCCAAACUGGAACUGAGACACGGUCCAGACUCCGACGGGAGGCAGCAGUGGGGAAUAUGUGACAAUGGGCGCAAGCCUGAGGCAGCCAUGCCGCGUGUAUGAAGAAGGCCUUCGGGUUGUAAAGUACUUUCAGCGGGGAGGCGUUACCCGCAGAAGAAGCACCGGCUAACUCCGUGCCAGCAGCCGCGGUAAUAC
rnacentral:rRNA from 1 species